rnacentral:tRNA from 2 species
GCGGUCGUGGCGAAAUUGGUAGACGCGCAGCGUUGAGGUCGCUGUGGAGUAACAUCCUUGCAAGUUCGAGUCUUGUCGACCGCA